rnacentral:rRNA from 1 species
UACGGGGGGGGCAAGCGUUGUUCGGAAUUACUGGGCGUAAAGGGCUCGUAGGCGGCCAACUAAGUCAGACGUGAAAUCCCUCGGCUUAACCGGGGAACUGCAUCUGAUACUGGAUGGCUUGAGUUUGGGAGAGGGAUGCGGAAUUCCAGGUGUAGCGGUGAAAUGCGUAGAUAUCUGGAGGAACACCGGUGGCGAAGGCGGCAUCCUGGACCAACACUGACGCUGAUGAGCGAAAGCCAGGGGAGCAAACGGG